rnacentral:tRNA from 1 species
UCCCUGAUGGUCCAGUGGUUAGGACUCUGAGCUUCCACAUCAAAGGUCAUGGGUUCAAUCCUUGGUCAUGGAA